rnacentral:misc_RNA from 1 species
CUUUCUUGUCUUGAAUGCAUAACAUCCUUUGCAGAAAGACACACUUUCCAAUUAUUGUUUAUGUGAGAACUGAGAAUUACAUUUGAAAUUCUUAACAUAUGAUAACCCCUCAAUACGGAAACAAAUUUAAUUUUCUUCCCAAUUUUCCACCUGCUUAUUAACCCCCACCCCCAUGGCUUUUCCUGUUCUAACGCGUUGCCCUAUAUCUUAAGAGUUGAGAGUCUUCCAAGCAUGUAAAUUAAGUGUUUCCUAUGAUUUAACAAAAAUUAUCACCUAACCAAAUGCAGUGG